rnacentral:rRNA from 1 species
GGCGAACGCUGGCGGCGUGCUUAACACAUGCAAGUCGAACGGAAAGGCCUUUUCGGAGGUACUCGAGUGGCGCACGGGUGUGUAACACGUGGGUGAUCUGCCCUGCACUCUGGGAUAAGCCUGGGAAACUGGGUCUAAUACCGGAUAGGACCGCACGUUCGUGUGUGUGGUUGAAAGUUUUUUCGGUGUAGGAUGAGCCCGCGGCCUAUCAGCUUGUUGGUGGGGUAAUGGCCUACCAAGGCGGCGACGGGUAGCCGGACUGAGAGGUUGGUCGGCCACAUUGGGACUGAGAUACGGCCCAGACUCCUACGGGAGGCAGCAGUGGGGAAUAUUGCACAAUGGGCGCAAGCCUGAUGCAGCGACGCCGCGUGGGGGAUGACGGCCUUCGGGUUGUAAACUCCGUUCGCCAGGGACGAAGCGUUUUGUGACGGUACCUGGAGAAGAAGCACCGGCUAACUACGUG